GCAUUUUAUUUACAUUAAAAAGAAAAUUGUAAAAAAUUUAAUUUGAAUUUAAUUAUUUAUUAAAUUUUUAUUUUAUUUUUAUUUGAAAUAUAAUUAUUUUAUUAGUUUAUUGAAAAAAUAUUAUUUAUUAUAGUAAAAUGUAUUGAGAAAGAAUAUUAUUAAAUUAGUAAAAGAAUAUUUUAUUUAUAGUACCUUGUGUAUCAGGGUUGAUUAAUUAAAUUUUAUAAAUAUAAAUUUCUCGAAUCUAAAAGAGCUAAUUUUAAAUUUAUUUUAAUGUAUCAUUAUUAUUUUAAAUUUAAAAUUAGAAAUGAAAUGUUAUUCGUUUUUAGAUAUAUCUAGUUUUUAAGGAAAUAAAUUUAAUUUAUUUAUAUUUAAUAAUAAUUUAUAUUUUUAUUUUUAUUAAUAAUAUAUUAAAUAAUUUAAGGGAUAAGCUUUAAAUUAAAAUAUUAAAAAUUUUUUUAAAAAAAAUAAUUUAUAGAAUUAGAAUUUUUCAUUAAUUAAAGGAUGUAAUAAUUGAUUAUUUUUAUUUAUUAUUUUUAUUAGUUUUAAUUAUUUUACUUAAAUAAAGUAUUAAACGUUAAAAUUUUUGAAAUAAUGAUUAAAUUAGUAUAAUUAUUUUUAUUUUGUUAAAAAAAUUAAUAAUAUAAUUAAGGAAUUCGGCAAAUUUAAUUUUCACCUGUUUAAUAAAAACAUGUCUUUUUGAAUAUAAUUUAAAGUCUGGCCUGCCCAAUGAUUAUUUUAAAUGGCCGCAGUAUUUUGACUGUGCAAAGGUAGCAUAAUCAUUAGUUUCUUAAUUAGAGGCUUGUAUGAAAGGUUUAAUGAAAAAUUAACUGUCUCACUUAUAAAAUUAAAAUUUUAAUUUUAAGUAAAAAAGCUUAAAUUUAUUAAUAAGACGAUAAGACCCUAUAGAGUUUAAUAUAAAAUUAAGUAAAUUUAAAUUGGUUUAAAUUAAUAUUAUUUAGUGAGUAUUUUGUUGGGGUGACUAAAAAAUUAAAUAAACUUUUUUGAAUUUAAACAGAAAUUUCUGAUAAUUUGAUCCUUUAUUUAAGAUUAAAAGAGUAAAUUACCUUAGGGAUAACAGCGUAAUUUUUUUAAUAGUUCUUAUUGAAAAAAAAGUUUGCGACCUCGAUGUUGGAUUAAAAUUAAAUAUUGGUGAAGAAGCUAAAUAUUUAGGUCUGUUCGACCUUUAAAAUUUUACAUGAUCUGAGUUUAAACCGGUGUGAGCCAGGUUGGUUUCUAUCUAUUAUAAAUGUAAACACUUUAGUACGAAAGGACCAAGUGUUAAAAUUAGAUUUUAAUAUUUGAAUAUUAUUAUUAUUUUGGCAGAUUAGUGCUUUUGAUUUAGAAUCAAAUAAUGUAGAUUUUACAAA
rnacentral:rRNA from 1 species